AGGCCUGCUCAAUGAAAUUUAAAUGGCCGCAGUAUAAUGACUGUGCUAAGGUAGCAUAAUAAUUUGCCUUUUAAUUGGGGGCUGGGAUGAAAGGUUUUAUGGGGAAUAGCUGUUUCAGAAUAAAUAAAUUGAAUUUAAGUUUUGCAUAAAAACUUGCAAAUGUUCUUGAGGGACGAGAAGACCCUGUGGAUUUUUAUUUGUUAAAAAAUAAAUUUUAUAAUAUUUUAUUUUUUAUCCAAAUUUGGUUGGGAUGACAAUAAAAUUAACUUUAUUCAGAGGAUAAUAAUUAGAUCCUUUUUAAGGAAAAAAGAACAAAUUACCCCAGGGAUAACAGCGUAAUACUUUUGGACAGGACAAAUGGAUAAAAGUGUUUGCGACCUCGAU
rnacentral:rRNA from 1 species